UACGGGUGGGGCAAGCGUUGUUCGGAAUUACUGGGCGUAAAGGGCUCGUAGGUGGCCAACUAAGUCAGACGUGAAAUCCCUCGGCUUAACCGGGGAACUGCGUCUGAUACUGGAUGGCUUGAGUUCGGGAGAGGGAUGCGGAAUUCCAGGUGUAGCGGUGAAAUGCGUAGAUAUCUGGAGGAACACCGGUGGCGAAGGCGGCAUCCUGGACCGACACUGACGCUGAGGAGCGAAAGCCAGGGGAGCAAACGGG
rnacentral:rRNA from 1 species